rnacentral:rRNA from 1 species
GACGAACGCUGGCGGCGUGCUUAACACAUGCAAGUCGAGCGGAGUGACGAACGGGUGAGUAACACGUGGCUGACCCCCCCCGCACUUCGGGCAAAGCCAGGGGGACGCGGUUUACUACUGGAUAGUGGGGGAUGGGCUCGCGGCCUAUCAGCUUGUUGGUGGGGUAAUGGCCUACCAAGGCGGCGACGGGUAGCCGGCCUGGGAGGGUGGACGGCCACAUUGGGACUGAGGCACGGCCCAGACUCCUACGGGAGGCAGCAGUGGGGAAUAUUGCACAAUGGGGGGAAGCCUGAUGCAGCGACGCCGGGUGGGGGAUGACGGCCUUCGGGUUGUAAACUCCUUUCACCAUCGACGCGGUAGAUGGAGAAGAAGCACCGGCUAACUACGUGCCAGCAGCCGCGGUAAUUC